AAAAGAUAAUAUUGAUUUGUGGAAGCUUAUUCAGUUUUUAUUCAUGUUUAUUCCAAAUUUCUUGAUCCCUUCCAUGUCUUGUACCAAUCUACCUUCCUGCUUUUGCUUGCUGAUUCCCUGUUUAACAUUCAUGUACAACAAUCAAAGAACAUCUCCAAUGGUGGUGUAAAAUUGGUAUAUUCAAAACCACAAUUACAUCCUCAAUUUUAUUUUGGUGGAUCUAAAUCCAAGUUUUGCUCUAAUAGAAAUAUUUAAAUCCACUUUUUGCCUCUUGUGGAUGUUAAAAAAAAUUAAUGUAAAUUUACACCUUUUUCUGUCAGAAAAUGCAAUUUGUAUCUCCUUUGCAUCUUUCCAAUGAAGAGGUUUUCGGCCACUUUGGAGAUCUAAAUCUCUAUUUUACACUACUAUUAGAGAUGUUCUAAUGAAUCUAAAUAAGGCACAUGAAUUUUGACUACUUGAUUCUAUGGGCAGCUUGGUGUUCUCCCUAUCUUUUGCUUUUGUAAUUGGCAACAUACCAUAUUCUUUAUGAAUGAAAUGCAAGACUUCGAUUUUUUUUAAUGGUAUCAAUUUCAUUUCCUCGGUGACAAGUGGCGAGGAGGAUACAUCACUCGUGCGUAGCUUCACAGAUGGAUUGCCUGCUCUUAUCUACAAAAAGGAUGAAAUGUUACCAGUAACGCCUUGGUGGAGAAUGGGUCUAGUUCCCCGUCUGCUCAAUCCAGGCUGCAAGCAGUAGAAAAAAAUGGUAAUAGAUUGUUGAAUUUUAACAAAGCUUGAGAAAUUGAACGCAAGUUAGCUGUAUUAGCUAGACAUAUUUUUCAAAUAUUCUAUUUCAUUAUUUCAAGAACUUUGAUAAAUUGUGCCCGGUUUAUUGGAUACGGUCACGAUGGGUUUUGGCUGGAGCAAAAAAUCAACUUUCUUGGAGUGUUUGCUUACACUAUGAGGUGUUUUGUAUUCUUCUAUAUCUCGAGUAUUCAUGGAACGUGAGAAGGUUCGAUAUUUUUCAAUAUAUUACUUCUAGUUUGAUCAGCAGCUAGAACCAUGCUUUUAGAGA
rnacentral:lncRNA from 1 species